CGCGGGGCGGCAACGUCCUGGCGGCGACCGGCGGAAGGGNGCGUAACGCGUGAGCGACAUGCCCGUUGCCCGGGGACAACCGGUGGAAACGCCGACUAAUCCCCGAUGGGACGGAGGCCCUCAUGGGUCUCUGUUGAAAGUUACGGCGGCGACGGAUUGGCUCGCGUCCGAUUAGCUUGUUGGCGGGGUAACGGCCCACCAAGGCUACGAUCGGUAGGGGUUCUGAGAGGAAGGUCCCCCACAAUGGAACUGAGACACGGUCCAUACUCCUACGGGAGGCAGCAGUGAGGAAUAUUGGUCAAUGGGCGGAAGCCUGAACCAGCCAUGCCGCGUGCGGGAAGGAGGCCCUAUGGGCUGUGAACCGCUUUUGCCUGGGGGCAAUAAGGGCGUCGUGCACGUCCGAUGAGAGUACCAGGCGAAUAAGCAUCGGCUAACUCCGUGCCAGCAGCCGCGGUAAUACGGGGGAUGCGAGCGUUAUCCGGAUUCAUUGGGUUUAAAGGGUGCGUAGGCUGUGCGUCAAGUCAGGGGUGAAAUUCCGGGGCUCAACUCCGGGGCUGCCCUUGAUACUGUCGCGCUGGAGUGCGGAUGCCGCCGGAGGAAUGAGUGGUGUAGCGGUGAAAUGCUUAGAUAUCACUCAGAACACCGAUUGCGAAGGCAUCUGGCGAAUCCGUAACUGACGCUGAGGCACGAAAGCGUGGGG
rnacentral:rRNA from 1 species